UUGACACUUCAUUUUUCCUGAUGCCGAUCGCCGCAACGCAGUUGCAGGCUGCAAAGAAUUGUCUCUCGAUGAGCAUGACGCUCAUUUCUAUGAUGGACAUUACAAAGUUUGACUUUAUUCAUAGGCUUAUUUCAGAUCUAAACAUUUCGGCAAUUUGGACCGCUGGUUCGAACGAAGGAAACGGCUCUUGCGACGCGGACGCUUUACUCUCAUUUGCCUGGUGCAGGAAAAACGUCGAAUUAGAUGCAGCAAUCCAGGCAAAAAUCACCAAGCCGGUGUCUCUGGUUGAACUUGCUCAAAAGGCGUUGGCACUUUCUAUUAAAAAGUCUCUGACUGCACUUCCAUCCUCAUCGAAACUUCCGUAUUUGUGCGAACCAAAUGCAGAUUUACGCAAAGACAGUUGUUCCACCUUGAAA